UUGAACGCUGGCGGCAGGCCUAACACAUGCAAGUCGAACGGUAACAGGGAGCAGCUUGCUGCUUCGCUGACGAGUGGCGGACGGGUGAGUAAUGUCUGGGAAACUGCCUGAUGGAGGGGGAUAACUACUGGAAACGGUAGCUAAUACCGCAUAACGUCUUCGGACCAAAGUGGGGGACCUUCGGGCCUCAUGCCAUCAGAUGUGCCCAGAUGGGAUUAGCUAGUAGGUGGGGUAACGGCUCACCUAGGCGACGAUCCCUAGCUGGUCUGAGAGGAUGACCAGCCACACUGGAACUGAGACACGGUCCAGACUCCUACGGGAGGCAGCAGUGGGGAAUAUUGCACAAUGGGCGCAAGCCUGAUGCAGCCAUGCCGCGUGUAUGAAGAAGGCCUUCGGGUUGUAAAGUACUUUCAGCGGGGAGGAAGGUGUUGUGGUUAAUAACCACAGCAAUUGACGUUACCCGCAGAAGAAGCACCGGCUAACUCCGUGCCAGCAGCCGCGGUAAUACGGAGGGUGCAAGCGUUAAUCGGAAUUACUGGGCGUAAAGCGCACGCAGGCGGUCUGUUAAGUCAGAUGUGAAAUCCCCGGGCUCAACCUGGGAACUGCAUUUGAAACUGGCAGGCUUGAGUCUCGUAGAGGGGGGUAGAAUUCCAGGUG
rnacentral:rRNA from 1 species